CUGGACCAUCAAUUCUACUUUAUGAUCAUCUUCAAAGAUAAAAACUUUCCCAGCAUGCCUCGGCUGUGGAGCUGUAUGAGGGAGAGCUGUUUGUCCUGCUGCCCUGUGAGUUUCCCACUUUUGAACUGGACGGCCCCACAGUGGUGUGGAGUCGCUCCGACCUCAGUCCUCCAACCGUCCACCAGCUUCAAGGAGACGAACUGAAAGAUCCAAACCAGCGUUACAGCGGCCGAACAUCCAUGAAGACUGACGCUCUGGAAACUGGAGACCUCAGCCUGAACCUGACCAACCUCCACCUGUCUGACAGCGCCACCUACACCUGCUCCGUCACAUCAUUUAGACUGAGAGAUGUCCCACUGCAGGUCAAAGAACCAUUUCCAUCCUGGGCCACAGCUCUGCUGGUCCUCCUGGUUCUCCUGGUUCUCCUGGUUCUCC